rnacentral:rRNA from 1 species
GACGAACGCUGGCGGCGUGCUUAACACAUGCAAGUCGAGCGGUAAGGCCCUUUCGGGGUACGACGAGCGGCGAACGGGUGAGUAACACGUGGGUGACCUGCCCUCAGCUCUGGGAUAAGCCUGGGAAACCGGGUCUAAUACUGGAUAUGACUCCAUGACGCAUGUUGUGGGGUGGAAAGCCUUGUGCGGCUGAGGAUGGGCCCGCGGCCCAUCAGCUUGUUGGGUGGGGUGACGGCCUACC